rnacentral:rRNA from 1 species
AACGAACGCUGGCGGCAGGCCUAACACAUGCAAGUCGAGCGCGCCUUCGGGUGAGCGGCGGACGGGUUAGUAACGCGUGGGAACGUGCCCUUCUCUACGGAAUAGCCUCUGGAAACGGAGAGUAAUACCGCAUACAAAAUUCGGGGGAAAGAUUUAUCGGAGAAGGAUCGGCCCGCGUUAGAUUAGAUAGUUGGUGGGGUAACGGCUUACCAAGUCUACGAUCUAUAGCUGGUUUUAGAGGAUGAUCAGCAACACUGGGACUGAGACACGGCCCAGACUCGUACGGGAGGCAGCAGUGGGGAAUCUUGGACAAUUGGGCGCAAGCCUGAUCCAGCCAUGCCGCGUGAGUGAAGAAGGCCUUAGGGUCGUAAAGCUCUUUCGCCUGUGAUGAUAAUGACAGUAGCAGGUAAAGAAACCCCGGCUAACUCCGUGCCAUCA